rnacentral:rRNA from 1 species
UAAACCGGAGAGACUAACAGGAUUCCCCUAGUAACUGCGAGUGAAGCGGGAAAAGCUCAAAUUUAAAAUCUGGCAGUCUCUGGCUGUCCGAGUUGUAAUCUAGAGAAGUAAUGCCCGUGCUGGACCGUGUAUAAGUCUCCUGGGAUGGGGCGUCAUAGAGGGUGAGAAUCCCGUCUUUGACACGGACUACCAGUGCAUUGUGGUAUGCUCUCAAAGAGUCGAGUUGUUUGGGAAUGCAGCUCAAAAUGGGUGGUAAAUUCCAUCUAAAGCUAAAUAUUGGCGAGAGACCGAUAGCGAACAAGUACCGUGAGGGAAAGAUGAAAAGAACUUUGGAAAGAGAGUUAAACAGUACGUGAAAUUGCUGAAAGGGAAACGCUUGAAGUCAGUCGCGUUGGCCGGGAAUCAGCCUUGCUUUUGCAUGGUGUACUUUCUGGUUGACGGGUCAGCAUCAAUUUUGACCGCUGGAAAAAGGCCUGGGGAAUGUGGCAGCUUCGGCUGUGUUAUAGCCCCUAGUCGCAUACAGUGGUUGGGAUUGAGGAACUCAGCACGCCGCAAGGCCGGGUUUCGACCACGUUCGUGCUUAGGAUGCUGGCAUAAUGGCUUUAAGCGACCCGUCUUGAAACACGGACCAAGGAGUCUAACAUGCCUGCGAGUAUUUGGGUGGAAAACCCAAGUGCGUAAUGAAAGUGAAAGUUGAGAUCCCUGUCGUGGGGAGCAUCGACGCCCGGACCAGAACUUUUGGGACGGAUCCGCGGUGGAGCAUGUAUGUUGGGACCCGAAAGAUGGUGAACUAUGCCUGAAUAGGGUGAAGCCAGAGGAAACUCUGGUGGAGGCUCGUAGCGAUUCUGACGUGCAAAUCGAUCGUCAAAUUUGGGUAUAGGGGCGAAAGACUAAUCGAUCCAUCUAUUGGGCCCA